GUGCCAGCAGCCGCGGUAAUACGUAGGGUGCAAGCGUUAAUCGGAAUUACUGGGCGUAAAGCGUGCGCAGGCGGUUUUGUAAGACAGAGGUGAAAUCCCCGGGCUCAACCUGGGAACGGCCUUUGUGACUGCAAAGCUGGAGUGCGGCAGAGGGGGAUGGAAUUCCGCGUGUAGCAGUGAAAUGCGUAGAUAUGCGGAGGAACACCGAUGGCGAAGGCAAUCCCCUGGGCCUGCACUGACGCUCAUGCACGAGAGCGUGGGGAGCAAACAGGAUUAGAUACCCUGGUAGUCCACGCCCUAAACGAUGUCAACUGGUUGUUGGGUCUUCACUGACUCAGUAACGAAGCUAACGCGUGAAGUUGACCGCCUGGGGAGUACGGCCGCAAGGUUAAAACUCAAAGGAAUUGACGGGGACCCGCACAAGCGGUGGAUGAUGUGGUUUAAUUCGAUGCAACGCGAAAAACCUUACCCACCUUUGACAUGUACGGAAUCCUGCAGAGACGCAGGAGUGCUCGAAAGAGAGCCGUAACACAGGUGCUGCAUGGCUGUCGUCAGCUCGCGUCGUGAGAUGUUGGGUUAAGUCCCGCAACGAGCGCAACCCUUGCCAUUAGUUGCUACGAAAGGGCACUCUAAUGGGACUGCCGGUGACAAACCGGAGGAAGGUGGGGAUGACGUCAAGUCCUCAUGGCCCUUAUAGGUGGGGCUACACACGUCAUACAAUGGCUGGUACAAAGGGUUGCCAACCCGCGAGGGGGAGCCAAUCCCAUAAAGCCAGUCGUAGUCCGGAUCGCAGUCUGCAACUCGACUGCGUGAAGUCGGAAUCGCUAGUAAUCGUGGAUCAGCAUGUCACGGUGAUACGUUCCCGGGUCUUGCACUCACCGCCCGUCA
rnacentral:rRNA from 1 species